UACGGGGGGAGCAAGCGUUGUUCGGAUUUACUGGGCGGAAAGGGCGCGUAGGCGGCCACCGCAAGUCGACUGUGAAAUCUCCGGGCUUAACCCGGAAAGGUCAGCCGAUACUGCGGGGCUAGAGUGCAGAAGGGGCAACUGGAAUUCUCGGUGUAGCGGUGAAAUGCGUAGAUAUCGAGAGGAACACCUGCGGCGAAGGCGGGUCUCUGGGCAUCUCCUGACGCUGAGGCGCGAAAGCGUGGGGAGCAAACGGG
rnacentral:rRNA from 1 species